rnacentral:rRNA from 1 species
GACGAACGCUGGCGGCGUGCUUAACACAUGCAAGUCGAACGGUAAGGCUCCAGCUUGCUGGGGUACACGAGUGGCGAACGGGUGAGUAACACGUGGGUGACCUGCCCUGCACUUCGGGACAAGCCUGGGAAACUGGGUCUAUUACCGGAUAGGACCGCACCGUGAGGGUGUGGUGGAAUGUUUUUUCGGUGUGGGAUGGGCCCGCGGCCUGUCAGCUGGUUGGUGGGGUAAUGGCCUACCAAGGCGGCGACGGGCAGCCUGCCUGAGAGGGUGGACGGCCACAUUGGGACUGAGAGACGGCCCAGACUCCUACGGGUGGCAGCAGUGGGGAAUAUUGCGCCAUGGACGGAGGCCGUAUGCAGCGAGGCCGCAUGGAGGAUAACGGCCUUCGAGUUGUAAACUCCUUGCACCAUCGACAAAGGGUUUCUGACGGUAGAUGGAGAAGAAGCACCGGCUAACUACGGG